rnacentral:lncRNA from 1 species
AAAGCAUGAUGGGGCCGAGUAACAAGCACACCUGAUCCUCGUUGUGUGAUCUAAACACGGUUUGUUGUUUCUUCCUACUGAGAACUACAUGGACGUCAUGACAAGUUGUAAGAUUGAUUAGUUUGUGUUGGAUUUCCUCAUGACCGACUACCUUUCUUUGAACCCUUAAUACAGACACUAGAAUCUCUCACUGCAGGCGCAACAGAUGAAACUUUACUA